UACGUAGGGGGCUAGCGUUGUCCGGAAUCAUUGGGCGUAAAGAGCGUGUAGGCGGUCCGGUAAGUCCGUUGUGAAAGUCAAAGGCUCAACCUUUGAACGCCGAUGGAUACUGCCGGGCUAGAGUCCGGAAGAGGCGAGUGGAAUUCCUGGUGUAGCGGUGGAAUGCGCAGAUAUCAGGAGGAACACCAAUAGCGAAGGCAGCUCGCUGGGACGGUACUGACGCUGAGGCGCGAAAGCGUGGGGAGCGAACAGG
rnacentral:rRNA from 1 species